rnacentral:rRNA from 1 species
AUUGAACGCUGGCGGCAUGCUUUACACAUGCAAGUCGGACGGCAGCACAGAGAAGCUUGCUUCUUGGGUGGCGAGUGGCGAACGGGUGAGUAACAUAUCGGAACGUACCGGGCAGUGGGGGAUAACUAAUCGAAAGAUUAGCUAAUACCGCAUAUUUUCUGAGGAAGAAAGCAGGGGACCAUUUGGCCUUGCGCUGUUUGAGCGGCCGAUAUCUGAUUAGCUAGUUGGUGGGGUAAAGGCCUACCAAGGCGACGAUCAGUAGCGGGUCUGAGAGGAUGAUCCGCCACACUGGGACUGAGACACGGCCCAGACUCCUACGGGAGGCAGCAGUGGGGAAUUUUGGACAAUGGGCGCAAGCCUGAUCCAGCCAUGCCGCGUGUCUGAAGAAGGCCUUCGGGUUGUAAAGGACUUUUGUCAGGGAAGAAAAGGGCGGGGUUAAUACCCCUGUCUGAU